GAUCGAGAUCCCGAUCAGCGUCGGGAUCGCGAGGAGGACGCGCUGGAGGAUGUACGUCAACAUGACGAGUCACCAGUAGGCAGAGGGCAGCCGGCAGUGGCGAUGAGUCCGCGGCGCAUCGCGCUGCCACUCAUUGCCUACUGCCCUCUGCCUACUGCCUACUUCUUGAAGAAGAACUGGGCCGGGUUGAUCA
rnacentral:misc_RNA from 1 species